rnacentral:snRNA from 1 species
AUUGCUUCUCGGCCUUUUGGCUAAGAUCAAGUGUAGAAUCUUAUGUUUAUAGAAAAUAUUUUUAAACAAUUUUAAUUUAU